UACGGAGGGUGCGAGCGUUGUCCGGAAUCAUUGGGCGUAAAGGGCGCGUAGGUGGCGCGACAAGCGUGCGGUGAAAGCUCGGGGCUCAACCCCGAGUCGGCCGUGCGAACUGUUGUGCUUGAGCACUGUAGAGGCAGGCGGAAUUCCGGUGGUGAUAGCGGUGGAAAUGCGUAGAUAUCAGGAGGAACACCGGUGGCGAAGGCGCCUAUCUGGCCCGAUACUGACGCUGAGGCGCGAAAGCUAGGGGAGCAAACGGG
rnacentral:rRNA from 1 species